GGAGGGUGCAAGCGUUGUUCGGAAUUAUUGGGCGUAAAGAGCGUGUAGGCGAUCCGGUAAGUCAGAUGUGAAAGCCCUGGGCUCAACCCAGGAAGUGCAUUUGAAACUACCAGACUUGAGUACGGGAGAGGAGGGGGGAAUUCCCGGUGUAGAGGUGAAAUUCGUAGAUAUCGGGAGGAAUACCAGUGGCGAAGGCGCCCCUCUGGACCGAUACUGACGCUGAGACGCGAAAGCGUGGGGAGCAAACAGGAUUAGAUACCCUGGGUAGUCCACGCCGUAAACGAUGAGCACUAGGUGUAGCGGGUAUUGACCCCCCUGCUGUGCCGUAGCUAACGCAUUAAGUGCUCCGCCUGGGGGACUACGGUCGCAAGACUA
rnacentral:rRNA from 1 species